GACGAACGCUGGCGGCGUGCCUAACACAUGCAAGUCGAGCGAGUGAAUCUCCUUCGGGAGUGAAGCUAGCGGCGGACGGGUGAGUAACACGUGGGCAACCUGCCUCAUAGAGGGGAAUAGCCUUCCGAAAGGAAGAUUAAUACCGCAUAAGAUUGUAGCUUCGCAUGAAGUAGCAAUUAAAGGAGCAAUCCGCUAUGAGAUGGGCCCCGCGGCGCAUUAGCUAGUUGGUGAGGUAACGGCUCACCAAGGCGACGAUGCGUAGCCGACCUGAGAGGGUGAUCGGCCACAUUGGGACUGAGACACGGCCCAGACUCCUACGGGAGGCAGCAGUGGGGAAUAUUGCACAAUGGGGGAAACCCUGAUGCAGCAACGCCGCGUGAGUGAUGACGGCCUCGG
rnacentral:rRNA from 1 species